GAUGAACGCUGGCGGCGUGCUUAACACAUGCAAGUCGAACGGUGAAGGCGGAGCUUGCUCUGCUGGAUCAGUGGCGAACGGGUGAGUAACACGUGAGCAAUCUGCCCCUGACUCUGGGAUAAGCGCUGGAAACGGCGUCUAAUACUGGAUACGAGCUGCGAAGGCAUCUUCAGCAGCUGGAAAGAACUUCGGUCAGGGAUGAGCUCGCGGCCUAUCAGCUUGUUGGUGAGGUAACGGCUCACCAAGGCGUCGACGGGUAGCCGGCCUGAGAGGGUGACCGGCCACACUGGGACUGAGACACGGCCCAGACUCCUACGGGAGGCAGCAGUGGGGAAUAUUGCACAAUGGGCGAAAGCCUGAUGCAGCAACGCCGCGUGAGGGACGACGGCCUUCGGGUUGUAAACCUCUUUUAGCAGGGAAGAAGCGAAAGUGACGGUACCUACAGAAAAAGCGCCGGCUAACUACGUG
rnacentral:rRNA from 1 species